ACCGACACCUUCUUCCCAGUGCGGCCCGGGCUGCGGCCCCGGGUCCGAGGAGGCCCGGGGAGACCCGGAGGAGGUGGAAACUGAGACCCAGAGAGCCGUGACUUGACUGAUCCCACAGCCAGGAAAUGGUGGAGCCUGGAUUUGAACCCCAGCUUUUAAGAAGAAGGUGCCACUGUCCUGGAAGAACUCUCAGGACAGCAUUAGUGUCUCAGGGAUCCCCCUAAUCGGAGGGGCCUUAAGGCAACCUAAUCAUGAUUGUCACUGAAGAUCCAGGAGGGCUUCCUGGAGGAGGAGGCAGCUCCAUUCUGAAAUGCCAAGGGUACAGCUUUAUUGGGACAGCCAGUGUCUCUGAAUAUGUAGGUUUUGCACAGAGCUUGUACUGCCCCAGGGCCUGUACACUGCCUGUCCCCUCUGCCUUGUGCACUCUUUCCCUAGAUGUCCAAAUGGCUCCUUUCCUCACCUACCCCAAAUCUCAAUUCCAGUGUUUCCCCAGCCUCCCCUCAUUUCAGUAAUCACUCUGCAGUGAGCUAGGAUUGCGCCACUGCACUCCAGCUUGGAUAAGAGAACAAGACCCUGUCUCUUAACUAAAUACAUAAAUAAAAAUAAUUCCCCUCUUCAUCCCUCUUUACCCUGUUUUGAUGGUUUUGUUCAAC
rnacentral:lncRNA from 1 species